UUUUAAAUGGCCGCAGUAUUCUAACUGUGCAAAGGUAGCAUAAUCAUUAGUCUUUUAAUUGAAGGCUGGAAUGAAUGGUUGGACGAAAUAUUAACUGUUUCAUUUAAAUUUUUUAUAGAAUUUUAUUUUUUAGUCAAAAAGCUAAAAUAAAUUUAAAAGACGAGAAGACCCUAUAAAUCUUUAUAUUUUAUUUAUUUUAAUUAUAAAGAUUAUUUUUGUUAUAAUAAAUUAAAAUAUUUUAUUGGGGUGAUAUUAAAAUUUAAAAAACUUUUAAUUUUUAAAACCAUUAAUUUAUGAGUAAUUGAUCCAUUAAUAAUGAUUAAAAAUUUAAGUUACUUUAGGGAUAACAGCGUAAUUUUUUUGGAGAGUUCAUAUCGAUAAAAAAGAUUGCGACCUCGAUGUUGGAUUAAGAUAUAAUUUUGGGUGUAGCCGUUCAAAUUUUAAGUCUGUUCGACUUUUAAAUUCUU
rnacentral:rRNA from 1 species